UACAGAGACCUCAAGCGUUAUCCGGAAUCAUUGGGCGUAAAGCGUACCGAUAGGUGGUUUUACAAGUCAGAAGUGAAAUCUCAAGGCUUAACCUUGAGACUGUCUUUUGAAACUGUAAAACUUGAGGGGCAAAGAGGAAGCUGGAACGAACGGUGUAGUAGUGAAAUGCGUUGAUAUCGUUCGGAACACCAAUAGCGUAGGAAGCUUCUGGGUGCCACCUGACACUGCUAGGACGAAAGCGUGGGGAGCGAAUGGG
rnacentral:rRNA from 1 species